rnacentral:misc_RNA from 1 species
AAAAAAAAAAAAAAAGGAGCUGUGAAGAAUCAGAAAGUGAUUCUUUGCCAGCUGAUUCAUGCUAAUUUUGUUGAAAAAGGAUUCAGUUCUUCUUGUAUGUUAAAUUGGAUUUUGAGAAGACAAUUAUGCAAAUGAAAAAUUUUUGACAAGUUACUUUAUUUUUUUCAUCUCGGUUGAUACAGUAUGUAUUUUAAACCUCAGGUUUAUGUCACUAAGAAGCAUUUCUGUACCUCAUUGAAAG